UAAGUAAAAGCCAAAAUAGAGGCAUCUAACUGUUAAUUAGGAAAAUGUGGGUAAUCACUUGCUUAG
rnacentral:tRNA from 1 species